rnacentral:rRNA from 1 species
GCGACCCCAGGUCAGGCGGGAUCACCCGCUGAGUUUAAGCAUAUCAAUAAGCGGAGGAGAAGAAACUUACAAGGAUUCCCCUAGUAACGGCGAGCGAA